AACCCAUGGAAUGGGCAUAAGCUCAACAGAUCCUUGAAACACUCCCAUGUGUCAAACAAAGAUUCUUCUUCCUCUUGUCUAAAGUUAUUAAUUUUAAUUCUCACUUGGGCU